rnacentral:ncRNA from 1 species
ACAAGGAAGGGUGUAGCAUGCAACAAAAUACUUUUGGGGAAUUGAAAAUAAGCUUAGAUCCAAAGUUCUCAAAUAAGUCAACCUUUUGGACUGUGUGCCGAAUCCAUGAGCAAACAAAAAACAACCUGACAAACUGAAACAUCUUAGUAGCAAGAGGAAAAUAAAGCAAAAUCGAUUCUCAUAGUACUCACAGUGAGCAAAAUGGGAGCAGUCUAAACCAUGAAAAUGGGAUUGUG